AAUGAACGCUGGCGGCGUGUCUUAAGCAUGCAAGUCGUGCGGCAAGGGUAGCAAUACCCCUAGAGCGGCGGACUGGUGAGUAACGCGUGGGUGAUCUGCCUCUGGGAUGGGGAUAGCCACUAGAAAUAGUGGGUAAUACCGAAUACGUUCACCGGACUGUGGUUUGGUGAGGAAAGGCGCUUCGGCGCCACCCGGAGAUGAGCCCGCGUCCCAUUAGCUAGUUGGUGAGGUAAAAGCCCACCAAGGCGAUGAUGGGUAGGCGGCCUGAGAGGGUGUACGCCCACACUGGGACUGAGAUACGGCCCAGACUCCUACGGGAGGCAGCAGCUAAGAAUAUUCCGCAAUGGACGAAAGUCUGACGGAGCGACGCCGCGUGGAUGAAGAAGGCCGAAAGGUUGUAAAAUCCUUUUGUUGGGGAAGAAUAAGCGUGGGAGGGAAUGCCCGCGUGAUGACAUGAACCGACGAAUAAGUCCCGGCUAACUACGUGCCAGCAGCCGCGGUAAACACGAG
rnacentral:rRNA from 1 species